AGGAAAUAGAUACCCGGGUAGUCCACGCCCUAAACGAUGUCGACUGGUUGUUGGGGGUUUGACACUCUCAGUAAACGAAAGCUAAACGCGUGAAAGUCGACCGCCUGGGGAGUACGGCCGCAAGGUUAAAACUCAAAGGAAUUGACGGGGACCCGCACAAGUGGUGGAUUAUGUGGAUUAAUUCGAUGCAACGCGAAAAACCUUACCUACCCUUGACAUGUCCUGAAUCCUGGAGAGAUCCGGGGGUGCCCGAAAGGGAACGGGAACACAGGUGCUGCAUGGCUGUCGUCAGCUCGUGUCGUGAGAUGUUGGGUUAAGUCCCGCAACGAGCGCAACCCUUGUCAUUAGUUGCUACCGCAAGGAGCACUCUAAUGAGACUGCCGGUGACAAACCGGAGGAAGGUGGGGAUGACGUCAAGUCCUCAUGGCCCUUAUGGGUAGGGCUUCACACGUAAUACAAUGGUCGGUACAGAGGGUUGCCAAGCCGCGAGGCGGAGCCAAUCCCAGAAAGCCGAUCGUAGUCCGGAUCGCAGUCUGCAACUCGACUGCGUGAAGUC
rnacentral:rRNA from 1 species